rnacentral:lncRNA from 1 species
AACAAGAAACAGAUACCCUCUUGCUGUCAUUCAUCUCUGAUCACUGGGAAUCUGAGCUUGAAGGAAGGUGAAAGAAAACUCCUACCGAAAACUGGGAAUCAUUUGUCUCAGGGAGCCUUAUGUGAGCAGGGUUUGCUGCUCUUACUUUCCCAAAGGCACCCAGGUGGAAAUGCCCACUUUGGCCUAAGCUGCCCUUUGCAGACAGAUGCACAGACAAAUGCUGGCCAAAGGUCUCAGUGCAGCCCAUCAUAUAUGAGGUUGGGUCUUCCAAGGAUGAUGUCUCAUGGCUGACCUUGCAUGGUAUCGAAUUUGGUCAUCUGACCAAACCAGUCCUCAGGUAUGCCCUUGAUGGGAUGUGAGUCCAUGAAGACACUGGUGUGAAGUGUUGAGAUGGGCCCUGC